rnacentral:rRNA from 1 species
GACGAACGCUGGCGGCGUGCUUAACACAUGCAAGUCGAACGGAAAGGCCCUGCUUUUGUGGGGUGCUCGAGUGGCGAACGGGUGAGUAACACGUGAGUAACCUGCCCUUGACUUUGGGAUAACUUCAGGAAACUGGGGCUAAUACCGGAUAGGAGCUCCUGCUGCAUGGUGGGGGUUGGAAAGUUUCGGCGGUUGGGGAUGGACUCGCGGCUUAUCAGCUUGUUGGUGGGGUAGUGGCUUACCAAGGCUUUGACGGGUAGCCGGCCUGAGAGGGUGACCGGCCACAUUGGGACUGAGGUACGGACCAGACUCCUACGGGAGGCAGCAGUGGAGAAUAUUGCACAAUGGGCGGAAGCCUGAUGCAGCAACGCCGCGUGCGGGAUGACGGCCUUCGGGUUGUAAACCGCUUUCGCCUGUGACGAAGCGUGAGUGACGGUAAUGGGUAAAGAAGCACCGGCUAACUACGUG